ensembl:lncRNA
GUGCGUUCCAGAUCUCUUUUCUGAGCAUGCGGACAAACGCCGCUACCGGAAGCACAGCUUUUAAACCGUUGUACGCGCUUUGGCGAACCAAGCCGCAAGUUGGAGGCUUUGGCUGUACCGGCGAGCUAGUAUCAGUUUCUCUCCUAAGUUUCUUCGCAGCAGUGCUGCCUCGCCCUCCCGCGUGGUCCUCAAGGUGUAGGUGAAGUGGUUUGGGUUAUGCAAAUUACAGCGCUGCCUUCGAGGAGCUCAAGGACGCCCAGUUUUGCCGCCCUACGCCCGUGUGCUCCCCAACAAUUUGGCUUUGAAAGCUUUUGUAUUGAAGUUGUACACUGGUGAAAAUCACUGUUAAAGUGUCGAUUGGCUUCCUCCAUCGCGAUUGGGUGUUUACGGGAACUCUUCUGGGCAGGAAUGUAUUGAUGUCCUGCAGGACGGGACAACUGGUGCCCAACGUGUGGCCGGAUAGAGUUGGGGAUCUGGGAACUUCAGUGCUCAUUAGAGGGACAGGCCCGUCCAUGCAGUGAGGCGUCCACAACAAGGUCGAUCGUGAGCCUCAGUUGGAGGAAGACCCAGCAGCCUGCCCAGCGCUUGGGACUUCAUAGGUUCAUGAGCAUCACCUAUGUGGAAAAGACCCCAAACUCCUCUUCAGAUGUGCAUGAUGCAGAGGUGCACGUGCCACAGCCUUCCCCAUAAGAAGUCAGAAGACCACUCUGGAGCCCGUGCUCAUGCCAUCUUCAUCCGGGUUACAAGGAUUUCACUUAGGUGGCCAGAUUUGCAUGGUGCAGGGAUGAAAACUGUAUACACCCAGAUGCACUUACUUUCUUGGAACAGGCUUGCUCACUAAACUUGGAGCUCCCUUUUCUCUGGCUAGAGUGGUGGCCAGCAAGCCCAGCCACACGCCUCCCCGCUUCACCCAGCGCUGAUGGUCCAGGCUCAAACAGCCGCGUCUGGAACGUGAGUACUGCAGAUUCACACUCAGGUCCUCCUACUUGCACAGGACAUGAUCUUACCCACUGAAGCACCUCCUAACUCUUUCUCCACCAACGGAAGAAAUCAUUAAGUUCCCGGAACAAAGAUGGUCUGGCGUCCUUGGCACUGAGUGCAGCAGACUGAAUUGUGUUCCCAAGAAAAAUACAUCAAAGUCCUAAUCCCCAGGAUCCGGGAAUGUGACCUUAUUUAGGAAUGGGACUUUGUAUCCAUUCAGUUGAAGUCAUCCUGGACUCCAGCAUGCUGUCAUCCAAUGACUCACACAGUUUAAUUUGGACCCAGACAACAUGAUGCAGCAGUGGAGUCACCGGCUGGCAUUGUGCUGCCAGAAGCCAGGGAAUGCCCGUGGCCACUAGAGCUACUGAAACAGUAAGAUUCUUCAGAGAGGGUGGAUCCCAGGUGACACUUUCAUUUCCAUCCCAUAACCGGCACUGUGAGAGAACAGACCCCUGUGGACUGAAGACACCCAGUUUGUCACUGUUGGGACUGCCCUGGGAAAACAGCACAGAGAGGCCUGCUUGCAAAAGAGGAGGGGCAGCUUGGUUUAGUCAUUGUUACCUCAGAGGGUGUAGGCUUGCAGUUGUUUUUAGGUUGGCUUUUUAUGUGUAUUAUUCCUUAAAGAAAGCCUCUUAAUCCUAGUGCGGUGGCCUACGCCUGCAGCCCACUACACAGGGAGGUAGCCAUAAGAAAAUCAGGAGGUCA